rnacentral:rRNA from 3 species
CACCAAAGCUCCGAUUUUUUGACGAGCGCAUCUAUUAGAUUAAAACCAAUCGGGUUUCGGCCCGUCAAUUGGUGACUCUGAAUAACUAUGGCUGAUCGCAUGGUCUUGAACCGGCGACGUGUCUAUCAAGUGUCUGCCUUAUCAACUGUCGAUGGUAGUUUAUGUGCCUACCAUGGUUGUAACGGGUAACGGAGAAUAAGGGUUCGACUCCGGAGAGGGAGCCUGAGAAACGGCUACCACAUCCAAGGAAGGCAGCAGGCGCGCAAAUUACCCACUCUCGGCAUGAGGAGGUAGUGACGAAAAAUAACGAGACCGUUCUCUCUGAGGCCGGUUAUCGGAAUGGGUACAAUUUAAACCCGUUAACGAGGAUCUAUGAGAGGGCAAGUCUGGUGCCAGCAGCCGCGGUAAUUCCAGCUCUCAAAGUGUAUAUCGUCAUUGCUGCGGUUAAAAAGCUCGUAGUUGGAUCUGCGCCUCAGGACUUGGUCCGCCCACUGGGCGAGAACUGGGCUCCUGGGCUAGUACUGCUGGUUUUCCCUACGUUGCCUUCAUCGGUCGCGUAGGGUGGCUAGCGAGUUUACUUUGAAAAAAUUAGAGUGCUUCACGCGGGCUUAUGUCUGAAUACUCGUGCAUGGAAUAAUAGAAUAGGAUCUCGGUUCUAUUUUGUUGGUUUUCUGAUCUGAGAUAAUGGUUAAGAGGGACGGACGGGGGCAUUCGUAUCGCUGCGUGAGAGGUGAAAUUCUUGGACCGUAGCGAGACGUCCGACUGCGAAAGCAUUUGCCAAGAAUGUCUUCAUUAAUCAAGAACGAAAGUCAGAGGUUCGAAGGCGAUCAG